AAUCCAUGGUAUAUCAGUUACUCUCUCUCCCAUCUCUAUGUUUGGUUUUGUCGUCAUACAGAGAAGCUUUCUCAUAGGAAAUGAUUGCUUGUGUUUCUCUGUGUUUGUGGUUACUCAUAGACAACGUUACAAUGAUCGAUUGAUUUUGAGAAAGUGCUCGUAAGAGACUCAGCUUGAUCUUUGAAAAGGUCUCUGCUUGUUUCAAUUUUUAGUUAGAAACCAGUUGGUUCACUGAAAAACCAUCUCUGCUUGAUCUGAAGAAUGUGUUUUAUUUUUUGUUUCAGCGGCUCCAUAUUUCUCUAUAUAGUUAUGAUCUUUACAUCUCUUCAAAGUUCUAAAGGCUGAAUCUUUUCUUCUUGUUGUUUUGAUAGGGGGUGAAGUCACAGCUGCUAAAGGGUUUAACGCUGGUGGUAUGUAUGAUAGGUUACGAGCUUCAGAGGAGAAGCCUGAUCUCGAAUGGAUAUUAAUCUCUGAUUUUCUAAAAAGGAUGUUGCUGGAGAUCCAUCCUCCUGAAGAUAUAUUGAAAGUCAAAGAAGAUUGACAAGUACAUGUACCAUGAUAUGUACAUGCGUGUUAAGCUAUAUAACUGAACACAUCUUACAAGAAGCUGGACAAGGCACAAGUAGCAGAUGGGGGCGAGUUUGAAGGGUAGAUGGUGGAGGAGUUGUGGAAGAAGAAGAACAGUGAGGAGGCGGUUUGAAGUUUGAAGGGAUGAUUAUGAAGGGUUAUUAGUUGUAAAUUGAUAGGUGUUAAUGGCUUGUGUUAACAAUGAAAUGUAUGAGAAUGAUAGGUGUUAAUGGUU